rnacentral:rRNA from 1 species
GUAAAAGACCAGACCAUGUUGGCAACGCCGGUUCUCGUCUGAUCAUCGAAGUUAAGCAACGUUGGACCCGGUUAGUACUUGCAUAGGUGGGAAUACCCGGCUGAGAAUACC